rnacentral:rRNA from 1 species
AUGGUGCAGUUCCUGGCCGCAGUGGCGGAGCUGGCGCGGGGAAUGGCAGCGCCCACGGUGAGGCCGGUGUGGGGACACGAUCUGCUGAUGACCACGCGCGACGAUCCGGCGCCGCCUAGAGUAUUCACCCACCGGGAGUACGAUGACGUGCCGGAUAGCAACGACACCAGCGUGCCCCUCUACUCCAUGACGCAACACUCCUUCUUCGGGCGUCGGGAGGUCGCGGCCAUCCGCACCCACCUCCUGCCUGCUCUCCGCCGCCGCGCCACCACCUUCGAGGUCCUCACGGGAUGUCUGUGGAGGUGCCGCACGAUGGCGCUGGCCCCCGUUGCGGACGAGGAGAUGUGGAUGAUCUGCCUCGUAAGCAUUCGCGGCCAGAAGCAGCAGAGCAGCGGCACCCCAUUCAUCCCCGUUGGCUACUACGGCAAUGCAUUCGCGUUCCCGGUCGCCAUCUCCACAGCCGGUGACCUCUGCACCAAUCCGGUGAGCUACGCCGUGGAGCUGAUGAUGAAGACCAAGAGGGAGGUGGAUGUGGAGUAUGUGAGGUCGGUAGCGCGCCUCAUGGCCGGGUUCCGUGAUGUCGACUUUGGGUGGGGCACACCGGUGUAUGCCGGACUAGCCAAGGGCGGCAUCCGCGAUAUCCCUGGGGUCGCCAGCUCCCUUAUUGCCGUCAAGAAUGCCAAUGGUGAGGAAGGUCUUGCGGCGCCCAUGUGCCUGCCUCGCCCCGUCAUGGCAAAGUUUGUGGAGGAGAUGAGAAGGCUGAUGCGUCCGGCCGACAUGGUUCCCGUGAUCAAAUCUGCUAUCUGA